UACGUAGGGUGCAAGCGUUAAUCGGAAUUACUGGGCGUAAAGCGUGCGCAGGCGGUUUUGUAAGUCUGCUGUGAAAGCCCUGGGCUCAACCUGGGAAUGGCGGUGGAUACUGAGAAGCUGGAGUACGGUAGAGGAAGGUGGAAUUCCCGGUGUAGCGGUGAAAUGCGUAGAGAUCGGGAGGAACAUCAGUGGCGAAGGCGGCCUUCUGGACCAGUACUGACGCUGAGGCACGAAAGCGUGGGGAGCAAACAGA
rnacentral:rRNA from 1 species